GAUGAACGCUGGCGGCGUGCCUAAUACAUGCAAGUCGAGCGAACAGACGAGGAGCUUGCUCCUCUGACGUUAGCGGCGGACGGGUGAGUAACACGUGGAUAACCUACCUAUAAGACUGGGAUAACUUCGGGAAACCGGAGCUAAUACCGGAUAAUAUAUUGAACCGCAUGGUUCAAUAGUGAAAGACGGUUUUGCUGUCACUUAUAGAUGGAUCCGCGCCGCAUUAGCUAGUUGGUAAGGUAACGGCUUACCAAGGCAACGAUGCGUAGCCGACCUGAGAGGGUGAUCGGCCACACUGGAACUGAGACACGGUCCAGACUCCUACGGGAGGCAGCAGUAGGGAAUCUUCCGCAAUGGGCGAAAGCUUGACGGAGCAACGCCGCGUGAGUGAUGAAGGUCUUCGGAUCGUAAAACUCUGUUACUAGGGAAGAACAAAUGUGUAAGUAACUAUGCACGUCUUGACGGUACCUAAGCAGAAAGCCACGGCUAACUACGU
rnacentral:rRNA from 1 species